CUGGGCGUAAGCGUGCGCAGGCGGUUCGUCGUGUCCGAUGUGAAAGCCCCGGGCUCAACCUGGGAAUGGCAUUGGAAACUGGCGGGCUUGAGUGUGGCAGAGGGGGGUGGAAUUCCGCGUGUAGCAGUGAAAUGCGUAGAGAUGCGGAGGAACACCGAUGGCGAAGGCAGCCCCCUGGGCUGACACUGACGCUCAGGCACGAAAGCGUGGGGAGCAAACAGGAUUAGAUACCCUGGUAGUCCACGCCCUAAACGAUGAUCACUGGGUGUUCGGGGAGCGAUCUCUGAGUACCGUAGCUAACGCGUGAAGUGAUCCGCCUGGGGGAGUACGGUCGCAAGAUUAAAACUCAAAGGAAUUGACGGGGGACCCGCACAAGCGGUGGAUGAUGUGGGAUUUAUUCGAUGCCACGCGAACAACCUUUACCUACCCUUGACUUGUCUGGAAGGGCGCCCAGAGGUGGCUGUGCCCGAAAGGGAACCGGAACACAAGUGCUGCAUGGGUGUCGUCAGCUCGUGGCCUGAGAUGUUGGGUUAAGUCCCGCAACGAGCGCAACCC
rnacentral:rRNA from 1 species